AAGUCUGGUGCCAGCAGCCGCGGUAAUUCCAGCUCCAAUAGCGUAUAUUAAAGUUGUUGCAGUUAAAAAGCUCGUAGUUGAAUUUCGGGGUUAGUAGGUUGGUCAUGCCUCUGGUAUGUACUGGUCUCACUGAUUCCUCCUUCCUGAUGAACCGUAAUGCCAUUAAUUUGGUGUUUCGGGGAAUUUGGACUGUUACUUUGAAAAAAUUAGAGUGUUUAAAGCAAGCUAACGCUUGAAUACAUUAGCAUGGAAUAAUGAAAUAGGACGUUCGAUCCUAUUUUGUUGGUUUCUAGGAUUGACGUAAUGAUUAAUAGGGAUAGUUGGGGGCAUUAGUAUUCAAUUGUCAGAGGUGAAAUUCUUGGAUUUAUUGAAGACUAACUACUGCGAAAGCAUUUGCCAAGGAUGUUUUCAUUAAUCAAGAACGAAAGUUAGGGGAUCGAAGACGAUCAGAUACCGUCGUAGUCUUAACCAUAAACUAUGCCGACUAGGGAUCGGAUGAUGUUAAUUUUUUAAUGACUCAUUCGGCGCCUUACGGGAAACCAAAGUGUUUGGGU
rnacentral:rRNA from 1 species